AUAGUCCGCGCAGCGGACGAUGGCCAGCGCCGGGAAGCCGGGAACAGAAAACAGCAAAAGCGUGAAACGGUCGGGGAAAAUGCGGUGAAACUUCUCCACCGUGAUGAAUGUAAUCUGAUGGCUACAUUUGACUACACCACCCAACCCACACGCAACACAACACAACACUACGAAAUAAGCACGCAACAGGGCAAACACAGUCAGCUAUGUAUGAAGCGAUCACUACUACUAAUGCGCCGUCUUGCGUAAAAAUGACAUUUGAGGUUCGAAGUUUUCUGCUGAACGAAGCCGAUGUAAACGAUAGAAAACACGCACAUUAUUGUUGAUGGAACAGGUGGCUCACUAGGUCACGCGUCGCCUCUGGAAAUUUAGAAUACACCUUUAAUGACCUUUACAGUUAUGUGUAUUCAGUUUCAUUCAGUAUCAUGCCCGAAAUGGUACAACGAGAUGGCCCUCAAUAUGUGAAUCAAA